CUUCAAAAACUUCCCCCGUGGUUUCAUAGUUUCUCACUUUGCCCCCCUGUGGUUUAAAAUGUAUCAAUUUGCCCCCCCUGUGGUUUCUUUUCUCUCUUUUUCUUAUCAAUUUCAUCAUUUUUUUUUCCUUAAAUCAGUGAUAAAGUUAAAAUUAAAGGGUAUUAAAGUGAAUAUUUGAUAAAUCUAGAUGGGCAUCUGAAGGUUUUUGUAUAUAAUUUAAUGAAAUAUUAACAAAAAAGCUACCGAAAAGAUAAAAACGAAACCACAGGGGGGGCAAAUUGAUACAUUUUAAACCACAGGGGGGCAAAGUGAGAAACUACGAAACCACAGGGGCUUUUUUUGAAGUUUUUCCUAAAUUUUAUUAAAUUAUAUCAAUUUCACUCCAAAGUAAAGCUGAUGUAUUAAAAUGACCGAAAUGGCGGAUACGCUAAAUAUGCAUUUCAUACAACUCGACUGCAAUCAGCAGGAGCGAAGGAUAAUCGCUUCUCUCUGACAUUGUACGAGAAAUGGUGAUUGUAUUGGUAAUGUUCUCCAAGAACGCUCAUAUUUGGACGACCUACUAUGCCGACGCAGAUUAUAUUCUUCUCCAUCUCCUCCAUCACAUUCUGUGGUGCCACUGUAUAAUCGACGCCGCCGCUAAAGUGAACCGUCAAGCUCGGCAAUGCCCCCUUAACCCCCUUAUGCGGCACUCUAUAACAAACCUCAAAUGAACUGUGAUUCGCCGACCGCAGCUUAAGUUGCUUGAAGUGUGCUCUAAAUGCCUCCCUUAUUCGCUCAUACGGGCCUCCCGUGCUUAAUGCGGUAUAUGUUGAGCCCGAGUCGAUAAAAAAGCCCCCUCUCACUAGCCCUCGAGCAUCUUUGCGAAGAGCAAAAUCGUUUGGCGUGAAGCCGAGGCGAUGGCCGGCAACACUGAUGUCUGAAAGAGGGAGGUAGUGUCGGAUCGUUGGCGCUAACCAUUAAUCCCAAAAGCUCGAGCUGUUAGAAAUACGCAACCAAUUCACUUAAAGCGUACAGAAACAGCGCCCACGGGUCUCGAUGGUGACUUGGCCCACCUGGCCUCACGCCACUUCGAACAUGACUCGGCCCAACCUAGCCUCACGCCAUUUCGAACAUGACUCGGCCCACAUGGCCUCCCGCCACAGGGCAGGAUGCUGGCCCACUUAAGCCAACAGGUAGUACAUCGGACGGCUGCCUAUUGCUCGUCAACGGCGGAAGGCAAUAUGAGAACCUGCCACCGAUCGGUCCCAUUAGCUGACUUGCCAGUGAUAAUGGCUCCAUGUCGAGGCCGAAAACUCCUGACAACUCCUUUGGCAUCGAGAAACCUUUGUUAUCAUUUGCGCAACCAAAAACAAAUUUACGCACAACAUCUUUUUGCGACCUGUCGGAAGAGAAACCUAAUGUCUCAGAGCCGAGGACACCUCUCGAUGAAGAGCCCUCGUUAUAGUCGAUAUUGUAGUGGCAUUGGCCUUUAACGCAUUUCUUAUCUGGGUCAUUCAAAUCGCACAACGUAUGGUUGCAUGGUAUCGGGUCGAAAGAGCUCGACUCUUUGGUCGGGUGGAAGAUCGGCAUAGUUUGUUUCCAACAAUGAAUGCAUGGCUUGCAUUGCAUCCAUAAUAUGUCACUGCUAGUGUCCAUGACUAAGUAGUAUUUCCUUUUGGCGGGCGUGCCGAUGUAGAGCUCUACCAUGUAGACAUGGGGCUGAGCUUUAAGAGAAAAACGGAGAUGCUCUACGCUGUAGUUGAGACCUAACAGGGAUAGUCUCAAGAGUCGUGCGCGAGCCAUGUCAUCUGCAUAAAGAUGCCUCGCCCUCUCAUAUUUUGUAAGGUUUCCAGGAAAGAGAGGAGAGUAGAUGGAGUAUUUAUGGAUCAAAUUGAGGUGUAGAGAAUGAACAAUUUUUAGUAAAAGUACCAAGACAAAAAGAACGAUAUGCCAUGUUUGUGCCAUCUCUUACUCUUUCGUAAUGGGGACUCUAAUCAUAACAAUAUUAAUUUGAUUAGAACAAUAUAAAGCAAAUAAGGAUUUUCUAACAACCUAAAAUUUUUGGACAUGAAUCAAUAAAAUGUGAAUUGUGCGGCCUCCAAAUGUUGAGUUUGAAGUUAUUGUUCAUUAAAUUUAUAGAUGUUAGGUACCAUUUUGGUGAUAUCCUUGAGAUAUGCAUAUCUUAACUUUUCCAAAUUUCAUAUAGCAAAAGUAAAAUAUUCUCAGUAGAGAUUAUAAAAAAUAAAAAACUUCCAAUUUGGUAUUCUUUAUCUAUACACUCUAAUUAUACAAGUUAAUAGCUUAUUAAAUACUAAAAAAGAAAUUGCAACUUGUUGAAAAAUAGAAGUUUUAUUAGUAAAAGUAGUUUUAAUUUAGCAAACAAUGUAUAGUAAAAUGAAUGACAUGGAAUUACUUUAAUAACCCUACAUAAAAUUUUCGCACAUGUGAUCCCCUGAUUAACAGGGGGUCACCCAUCCUAAUACUACUCUAACUCUAUAAACACACUUAAUCCUCUUAACCUUUUAGGUCUAACCACUGUCCAAAAUACUACAGCCGGAUUAAUAGGUCUAAUUCUAUUAUAUCUUAUAUAUAUAUGACUAUUUCAAAUAUUAGGGGUGUCACAUUCCUCCCCCCGUUAAGUCCUGACAUUCUUGUUAGGCUCAAGCAUAUUUACAAGCACCGGGCGAUGUGAGAUUCGUUGCAUCAGCCUUUGACUGAUAUUGUAGGAAACUGAGCUCCACCCACAAUGGUUAUCAGAUGGGAAGCUGCGCUCUGCCCGUUAUGUAAUUCUAGCUAAGCUGAGACUCAUUUUAUAUUUCUUGCUGGUGGUUGGUUUUGAUACCAACUGUGACGCCCGCUUCCCAAAGGGUCAUCUAUUCUAGAACUAUUCUAGCUCUAGUACGCUUAACCCUUUUGACCACUUGGGCCUAACCACCGCCCAAAUGCUAUAGUCGGAUUAAGAGGUUUAGCCCUAUUAUAUUUUAUAUAUAGGAUUAUUCUAAAUCCUAGGGGCGUCACAAAAUGUAACAUUAUCUUGUCAUAAUUUGCUAAAGAUGUCACGGCCCGAGUCCUGCCGGUUGGACUUGCUCGGGCAUGUGCAAAAUACCUGCUGAACAGGCAAGGUUCUUCUACCCACAGGAAGCGAAAUAUAUACCAACCUGAAAAACUCAUAUAUGAUAUAGGUACAUAGAACACCAGAGCGAAUACUUCUAAAUUUAUCAUUUCAACAUUAACUCUUUAGCUUACAAUAUUUGAUUUAACCGAAAAUGUUACAUUAUUUACUCAACAAAAAAAGGUACUUUUCGUUGACCAACUAACCACGAUCUAUCUAGCUCACGAUACUUUUACCAUGGUCCCAUGCUUCGUCAGCGGUAGAAGGCUUUGAAAAGAGGUAAUUAAACGUACAACAAAGGGUUGAGAACUUUAAAUAUGUUUUCAGUUGGUGUAACAUCCAAAAGUAGCUCGCUAUACUCACUUAGUCCAAAAGAAGUAUUAGUAGAUAACAAUAAUAAGUAAAAUAGCAAUUUCUAUAAAAGAAAUAUAAGUAAAUAAGAUACAACUACGAUGCCUCAAGAUACAUAUACAAUAUGCCACUAGCGACACUAUGUCAAUGGUUUAUAAGUUUACCCAACUAGCUCUUGUCACUUACUAAUUAUUUGGUUUGGUAUUAUUUCUCACUAUAUACCUCAUGGAGAGUCCAAGGCUAUCGACGUCCCUCCAAUCAGUGAGCACUUGGCAUUGAAGAAAAUUGGCAUCACUAAGUACUGUAGGGAGUCGAGAGGAUUGGCAUCUCCCAAGUACAAAGUAGGGCAUCGAGAAAAAUUGGCACCACCCAAUAUAACACUUCCAUAAGGUCUCAACGUGUCCCACAAUUAUACCCUAAGUUUUUAUGACUUUUAGGGUUAUCCAUAAGGUUUAUUACCAUAUUCUUUUAUCUCUAGUUUCAAGUAUUGCCUAGAGUUCAUAUGUCACUAUGUUGUUCACACAUUAUGUUCUAACAUUUUCUCUCUUUCUCUCAUUUCUUUUUCUUCACUUCACUUAACCCUGCACCACCAGCAGACACCCCUUUCUCUCUCUCUCUCUCUCUCUCUGUCUCUCUCUUAUUUUGUCUUUUUUUUUUUCGUUUUCUUACCCAAGUAGGGGUGUAAUGUGGGCCGUGUUGAGCCAGUACAGCCCACAUUAGUCAGGGCCGGAACAGGCUAGGAGUUGGCCCGGCUCGGCUCGGCUUCAUAUCCGGGCCAAGGCGGGCCAGGUUGGAGCAAACAAGCCUCCUGCUCGGGUCGUGUCGGGCUAGGCCAUGUUUCGGGCUUAAACUUUUAUUUUUUAUUUUUUUAAAAUAUGCAAAAUUUUAAAAAUAAAAAAAUAUAUUAGUUAAAUUGAUAUUUUGAUUAAAAAUUUUAAAAUUUUUUUAAAAAAUAUAAAAUAUAACAUAAUAAAUUUUUAUUUUAAAAAAAAUAUAUGCAAUGUUAUUAUUAUUAUUUUUGAAAAAAAAUAAAGUUUUUGGUCUAAUAAAUCAAAUUGUUUGGUCCAUUAGACCAAAAAUCACUCCUCCCAAGUCACUCCUCCCAAGGUCUGCCACUACAGACCUUGGGAGGAGAGCUCCUAGGACCAAGCCCUUCUCCCUAGGAGCUAGGACCCCUAGGGCCAUAGCGUUCGGACCGUGCUAGCCCGGCUGGCAUGGCCCAAGCGGGCCGUGUCGUGCUGGGCUGUGGGCUCUCCUCGGCUUGGCAUAGCCCAGGCCUGAUUCGUGCCAGACCGUGCCGAGCCAUCGGGCCUAAAAUUUGAGGCUUAGCACCACCCCAACGGACCGGGCCGGCAUGGGUGGUACAGCACUCGUGUCGUGCUGCAGCAAAAUCCGAAGCCAUGCCGGGCCGGGCGACCCAUGGGAGGCCCGGCCCGUUUUACAUCCCUACAACCAAGCUUACUCUCUAAUCUCCUCUACAGCUCUACUCUAUUAGCCCUCUUUUGGCCUUAAUAACCUUUUUUAGCGCUCUUUCUUUUUUUUUUUUCUUUUGGCUAUUUUGUGAGUAUGUGAGCAUCUCCUCAUCAUUUUCAAGCACCAAUGUGAAAGUCAGGAUUGCCACAAGAAGGGGCACGACGAUGACAACAAUAGAGAAGAGUAGAUUUACUCCUUCCCUUUUAAAUUUUUCGUUAUCACUUUUGAGUGUAAUUGGAUAUCUUGGCUAAGGUUCCUAUCCGCAGAAGUUCUUGCUGACUCCACAGCACAGUCAGAAGCACGGAUUGGAGUAGCAAGCUCAAAACUCAUGAAAAUGACCUCAUAUGUUGAUUUUUCUUGAAGGUUUACUCUUGAUUUGGUUUCACACUAAAUAGCUUCUUAUUCGAUGUGCUCUAAGUUGAUUUUGGUGCCCUAGACUGUGUGCGGUCGAUCGACUGCGCCUUUGUAGUUAAUUAUCAUAAAAACUAGUAGGUAGGCGACGAGAUCCAGUGGUUAAACCAGUAUAUGUACAAGUAUUGCUCCAUGUUUUUGAGAUUCUAUUGAAAAUGAAAAAAACAUUUUCCUUUAUAUUCUCGUCUUAUCUUUGUUUUUGCCCACUAGCAUUACAUGGACCUCAGUACUAAAUGGACUGUUAAAAGUUUAGGUACUACUGCGUCCAACUUGAAAGUAUGAGGAUGAAGAUAAAAUUCGACCGAAAGUUUGGGGACCAGAAGUGCAAUUUAUCCAAAUCACAAUUCACAAAACUUUGUAAGGAUCAACAUGUAGUUAUAAAAUUGUGCAGGGAUAGAUAUGAAAUUAUGCCAUUUUCAACUGUUCCUAAAACCCAUUUCGCACGCCCUCUUCCAUCGCGCCAUCUCUCUCUCUCUCUCUCUCUCUCUCUCUCUCUUCCCCAUCAAAACCCUAAAAACCACUCUCCGACGACGACGUCGACGACGACGACGACGACGACGACGACGAAGAAGGAGGGGGUGGGGGAGAGAUUGAUAUCGCGAUCGAGGUCGAGGGAUCGGGCGAUCGAAGAUGAGCACGGUGGACAAGAUGCUGAUCAAGGGGAUCCGGAGCUUCGGUCCGGAGAACAAGCACGUCGUCACCUUCUUCAGGCCCCUCACGCUUAUCGUCGGUCCCAAUGGCGCUGGAAAAACCGUAAUUAAACCCUUCCCUAUCCCCCCCCUCCCCUUCCCCUUCGGGCUUUUCUCCAUUGCUUAUCUCAGUCUAGCUCUUAUGGUCUCCUCUCCCUCUCUUUGUAGACUAUUAUUGAGUGUUUGAAGCUAUCGUGCACUGGCGAGCUCCCGCCCAACUCCCGCUCCGGCCACAGCUUCAUCCACGACCCCAAGGUGCGAAACCGCGGUCAAAAUCUCUCUUUUGAAUGUUUAGCGUGGUGGGUUUUGCUUCAAUUGAAUUUGAUCUUUUGUAAUUGUGGAAUCAGUGACAUAAAGGCGCUAAAGUUGUUAAAAUUCCUCAUUUGAGCGUUUGGAUUACUGUGCUUUGCUGCAAUUGAAUUGGUUUAUUGUAAGUGUCAGACCUUUUUAAACUCCCUAAUUUGAUCACGUAGAGUAGUGGGCUUAGCUUUCCUUGCAUUCUGUUGCAUUUCUUUUAACUGUGGAAUCUCUUGUUAAAAUCCCUCAUUUGAUCGUUUAGAGUGGUGAGUAUUUUUUUUUCUGUUGAAUUGGGUUUCAUGUAAUUAUGAAUCGGUGACCUAAGGUGUUAAACCUCUGCAAUACCUGCCAUUGGAUUGUUUAGACUAGAUGGUUUUGCUUCAUUUUGAUAAGGAUUUUUGUAAUUAUGGAAACGGUGAGCCUUGGUGUUGAACCUUGUAAACAUACCUCAUUGCGGAAAACAGUGACUUUUAAGUCGUUAAACCUUGUCGAAACCGCUCAUUUGAUUGUCUACAAUAGUGGGAAUUGCUUCACUUGAAUUGGGCUUUUCAUAAUGGUGGAAUUGGCUACCUAAGUUGUUAAACCUCAUUAAAAUUCCUCGUUUGAUUGUUUUGAUUAGUGGGUUUUGUGUAAUUGGGUAAUUGGUGAAGGUGGCGGGAGAGACCGAGACAAAGGGGCAGAUCAAGCUUAGGUUCAAGACAGCUGCAGGAAAGGAUGUUGUGUGCAUCCGAUCAUUCCAGCUUACACAGAAGGCUUCAAAGAUGGAGUUCAAGGCUAUCGAGAGUGUACUCCAAACCAUCAAUCCCCAUACCGGAGAAGUAAAUCUUUGUCUGUCCCUUUAGAAUUGUUACUCAUUAACAAGUGAUUUGAUUUAUUACUUAUUUGAUUGCUUGUUGGAUUGGUGUUUUGAGUGUAGAAGGUUUGCCUUAGCUAUAGAUGUGCCGACAUGGAUAGGGAGAUACCAGCUUUGAUGGGGGUUUCAAAGGCUAUAUUGGAGAAUGUCAUAUUUGUUCACCAGGACGAGUCCAAUUGGCCGCUACAGGAUCCUUCGACAUUGAAGAAGAAGUUUGAUGAUAUUUUUUCUGCUACACGGUACUUCUUAGUCUUGCCUUGUAGUCUUUUCAAAGAAGUUGUUGUCAUAUUUACCUUGUGCUCAGCUGACGAUCCUUUCAUGUUGAUAUUUGUUUGCUUCUUCAUUCUUUUCUCUUUAGUUACAUAACAUGCUGAUAACUCUGAAAACAACUAUUAAGGUAACUGCCUAUAUUGCUGUAAUAGUGUAGUGCUCAUAAAUCAUGAUAAUGCUUUAAGCUUUCAUGGCAACUCGCACUAUUAUUUGGUUUUAUUUGGCCGAAAUUCCAAUUUGAACUCCGAGAGGGCUGAUGUUAGGUUGGAAUGAAUUAUUUUAAUGAUGCAUUUUUUAUUAUUGUUGUCCUUCAGUUGUGUUCUGGCAGACAACAUUUUUUUGCGGAAAGGUUUACUGUGAUUUUUUUUUUCCUCCCUUUAAGCUUUACUUAAAAAUUUUCAUGUAACAUAAAAGGUGUUGUCGCAUUGGCUUUUAUUUACUUCAAAUCUUUCUACUUUUGUCUCUUCUAAUUUUGGAGUCAUUAUGUACUAGAUUUUCCUAAUGUUCCUAUUGGCUUUUCCCCAUUAUAGUUACACUAAAGCUUUGGAAGUAAUAAAGAAACUUCACAAGGAUCAAGCACAGGAGAUAAAGACUUACAAGCUGAAGUUGGAGCACCUUCAAACUCUUAAAGAUGCAGCCUAUAAGGUACUGACAAUCACAAUUAUGCAUCUGGGGUGGCCUUAGAUCAUGGUCUCAUUUUUCUUUUGAACGUAUAGCUUUUAUCAUAACUCAGAAACUAAGAGACCCCCUGUAUGACUAGGGGUGUAAACGAGCCGAACACGAGCGAGCUGGGGUCGGCUCGUGUUCGGNGGGGUGUAAACGAGCCGAACACGAGCGAGCUGGGGUCGGCUCGUUAAAGUAUCGAGUCGAAAAAUUCAGCUCGUCUUUGGCUCGUUUAUUAACGAGCUGAACACGAGCUGGCUCACGAGCUAGCCAACGAAUAAUAAAUUAAAAAUGAUUAGAUUAAAUAUAUAUAAAAAAUAAAUUUGUAAAAUCUUAUCCAUUAGACUUUGAUGUAAUAGUUGAAACUUUACAUAUAACUGAGUUUUUUUAUAAUUGAGCUCGCCUUUGUAUUUUUAUUUUGCUAAAAAUUAAAUAAUAAAAAUAUAUAUUAUAUAUAAUUAUUUAUUUAUAUAUAUAAAUAUAAAUUAAAUAAGUUAUAUAAAUAUAAAAUAUAUGUAUUCGAGCUGUUAUCGAGCCGAACACGAGCGAACUGACCUCAGCUCGUGUUCGACUCGUUUAUUAAACGAGCCGAAAAAUUCAGCUCGUGUUCGGCUUGUUAAUAAACGAGCCGAACAUGAGCUGGGGUCAGCUCGCUCGUGUUCGGCUCGAUAACAGCUCGAAUACAUAUAUUUAAUAUUUAUAUAAUUUAUUUAAUUUAUAUUUAUAUAUAUAAAUUAAUUUUUAUAUAUAUAUAUAUAUAUAUAAAAAUUAAUUUAUAUAUAUAAAUAUAAAUUAAAUAAGUUAUAUAAAUAUAAAAUAUAUGUAUUCGAGCUGUUAUCGAGCCGAACACGAGCGAACUGACCUCAGCUCGUGUUCGACUCGUUUAUUAAACGAGCCGAAAAAUUCAGCUCGUGUUCGGCUUGUUAAUAAACGAGCCGAACAUGAGCUGGGGUCAGCUCGCUCGUGUUCGGCUCGAUAACAGCUCGAAUACAUAUAUUUAAUAUUUAUAUAAUUUAUUUAAUUUAUAUUUAUAUAUAUAAAUUAAUUUUUAUAUAUAUAUAUAUAUAUAUAAAAAUUAAUUUAUAUAUAUAAAUAUAAAUUAAAUAAGUUAUAUAAAUAUAAAAUAUAUGUAUUCGAGCUGUUAUCGAGCCGAACACGAGCGAACUGACCUCAGCUCGUGUUCGACUCGUUUAUUAAACGAGCCGAAAAAUUCAGCUCGUGUUCGGCUUGUUAAUAAACGAGCCGAACAUGAGCUGGGGUCAGCUCGCUCGUGUUCGGCUCGAUAACAGCUCGAAUACAUAUAUUUAAUAUUUAUAUAAUUUAUUUAAUUUAUAUUUAUAUAUAUAAAUUAAUUUUUAUAUAUAUAUAUAUAUAUAUAAAAAUUAAUUUAUAUAUAUAAAUAUAAAUUAAAUAAGUUAUAUAAAUAUAAAAUAUAUGUAUUCGAGCUGUUAUCGAGCCGAACACGAGCGAACUGACCUCAGCUCGUGUUCGACUCGUUUAUUAAACAAGCUGAAAAAUCCAGCUCGUGUUCGGCUCGUUUACUAAACGAGCAAGUCGAUCUCGAGCUCAUUUCGAGCCGAACACGAACUGGGGUCAGCUCGCUCGUGUUCGGCUCGAAAUAAGCUCGAGAUCGGCUCGCUCGUUUAGUAAACGAGCCGAAUACGAGCUGCAUUUUUCAGCUUGUUUAAUAAACGAGUCGAACACGAGCUGGCUCGCGAACAGCGAGCUGGAUUGCCACCCCUAGAUAGACCCUUGUUAUCAUCCCGAAUAAUAGCAGUAAGAUAUUGUCAAAAUAAAAGGAUCUGCAAUGGUAUUAAUUUCCAACACUGUACUCUCUUUUAUGUCAUCAAAGGCAUAAAAUCGCUUCAGGGCGUGUUUUCCCUCAAAAAAAAAAAAAAAAAAANUCUUGGAGAUAUCACUUGUUUCUUAUUUUUAGUACUUGUUCUAAUACCAUGGUCUCAUAUACGUACGAUUCAAUCACAAUUAUGCAUCAUGGUCUCAUAUUACUUUUGAAGUAAUAGUUUUUAUCAUAAGUCAGAAAAGAAGAGACUUGACUCAAUUCAUUUUUUGUGCUUAAAUAAAUUCUAAUAUAUUUCUAACUAUUGCGAUAUUGUUCUCAAUAAGCCUGGGUUAUUUUGAAGAAGAGGCUAAUUUUAACUACACUAAAACCCGCCUGAGCUCAAUGACUAGUAUUGAGUUUCUGAUUUCUCACCAAGUCAACUGAGUUUCUCCAAGCUUGACUUCUCUGAGUUCCGUACACUGAGCUUAUAUCUGAGUCAACUUGAGAUCAAGCUGCACUAAGAUAGAACUCUUCCAAGUUUUGAGUCAACUCUGGAAGUUUUUGAAGUAUGCUUCUUUAUCAAUGGGUUGAAUGCUACAAGUAUGUCAUUUUCUAGUUUGUACUUGUUGGAUUCAGAUUCAUGACAAACAGUUGAUACUUGUUUCUUGCAUUUACUGAUACUUGUUUCUUGCAUUUACUGCUCAUUUUGUAUUAGGCUGUAUUUGUUUCUCUUUUGACAACAUUUUCUGUGCUGUUUCAGGACAUACUAAUGAUGGUUCUUGUUACAGCUUCGUGAGAAUAUUGCUCAAGAUCAAGAGAAAUCUGAAUCCUUGAAAACCCAAAUGAAAGAACUAGAGAUGAGCAUCCAAGGCGUGGAGAGUAAGAUCACUCAUACUGAAACAACUCUGAAGGAAUUGAGGAAGCUUCAAGAUCAGAUUUCAACCAAUACUACUGCAAGAAGCACGUUGUUCAAGCUUCAGCAGACACAAUAUGCUGCUCUCGUGGAGGAAAAUGAAGGUACUCGCUUCCUCUUCUUGGGGCCUGAUAUAUUUUUUGUUCAACCUAGCUUUAAAGGAGCUUCUCUACUCUAAAAACCAGAAGCUUUUAGUAGCCAAACAUUGGCUAACAGAAACUGUCGAGCUUUUACUGGGGCACAAAGCUAAAUGAGCUUUUGGGCCCGAAAAAGCAGAACUCCAAUAUAUACCUGAUAAAAUCAGAAGUUUCUGGAAAACAGUCUAGCUAACAAAAAGUAUAGAAUUCUUAUUGUGUUGAGAAGCUUAAGUGAGAUUUGGGUUCCAAAAGCAGGUCCUAUUUGAACUACUGCUUCUGCUGAUGUAAGAAGCUGCUGAGGAGAUUCUAAGAAAGAAGAUGUCACUAGCUUAUUGCUUCUCUAAACAGCUCUAAACAAAAAUCACAUUUGUAGAAGCUUCACCUGGACCAAAAUAGGUCCUCAGCGUGUCAACUUUCUGCCGGAUUAACAACUGUCUUCCUUUCCGUUUAGAUACUGACGAGGAGCUGAGGGAAUGGCAAACAAAAUUUGAAGAGAGAAUUGCUUUAUUAGAGACUAAAAUUAAUAAGCUGGAGAGGGAGAUGAAGGAUGAAGAGACUAAAAGUUCCUUGCUGUCGCAGACCAUCAACGAUUCUAUGCGUGAGAUUGGAAAACUUCAGGCUGAAGCUGAUGUAAUUUGCUAGGUUUCUGUUUUGGCCUUUCACGGGCUGUUUUGUCUGGCCUCUAGAAAAGCUUCUUCACUCUGAAAUGUAGUAACUAUGCAUUUGGAAAAUGAAAGAUUUGGAGGUUUUGCAAUGGUGGGAAGCUAAAUGAGCUUCUAAGCCAUAAAGCGGAAGCCUUAGUUUGAAGCUUCUAAUUUUCCCAAGUGAAGUGAAAAAACUGCUGUUGUCUUUCGACCGACUUAACAGCAUUUUUCUACCGAAGCUCCAACCAGGCCAUACAGGCCCUCAAUAUUUUAUUUUACUACACAUGUUGUGCUUCAAAUGAUGGUGCACAUCUUUCAGGCUCAUAAUGUUGUGAGGCACGAACGUGAUUCGACCAUCCAGAAGAUAUUUACGAAACAUAAUCUUGGGUCUCUUCCUGAUGCCCCUUUCAGUAAUGAUGUGGCUGUCAACCUGACAAACAGACUAAAGAUGAGGUUAUUAGAUCUUGAGAAGGAUUUACAGGAUAAGAAGGUGCUUGCAUAGUGAAACUUGAAGUUUGCUAUCUCAAGUACAUACUUUAUAUGAUUUUAUGUGGCUGCAAUUGUCUUAUCUUGAAAUAUUCAUUCAAUUGUCUUUCACCUUUCUUCCUGUUGUAAUCAUUACAACUGCUGCAUAAAAUGAGUCACUCGUGCAAAUGUUUGUACCCUCCUUACUGUUGUUUUAUGAUUAGAGAAACUGAAAUGCAAAAACAAAAUUGGUUGUGUGAAUCCAUUAAGAUAACCUUCAAAGGGACUGAGUUUUUAUUUCUCUCCUUUCACAUGCCGCCAAAAGCCUCAAUUUUUGCCAUGCAGUAUUCCAAUGACGCUUGAAGUUAUUUCUUUACAUUAGAUUAAGAUAUUGUUCCUGUAAUACUAAAUUUAAUGCUUUGGCAUGAUGCAUUCUGCUUAUGCAGAAAGCUGGUGAGAUGGAACUGAAGUUUCUAUGGGAGCGUUAUGUUGCGGUAAAUGCUCGUUGCUCUGAAAUCGAAGGCCAGAGGCAAGCUAAGAUUGAAUCUAAGGUCUGUUCUGGAAAUGUACAUUUUGGUUUUAGCUUCAACCACUCUAUUUAAUACUUGUUAGGUCUGGCUUCUACUGGGAGAACCAGCUUUGAGAAGCCACGUUUGGCUAACAAGAUGUCUGAAAUUUUCUAUGCCGGGAAGUUGAAAUGAGCUUUGGGUUCUAAAGCAAAAGCUCUAAUUUGAAAUUUUUGUUUCUGUUGUAGUGGGAAACAGUCGAAUAUAUAUAUAUGUGUGUGUGUGUAGAGAGAGAGAGAGAGAGAGAGAGAGUUGAGUUAGAAUAUUGUCGGUAGCAAACAGACUUUGUUGCUACCGAUUUGUUUUUGAUGAUAGAGCCUCCGAAUCGAUGAUCGGCACCGUUGAACAUGAUCUAGAUUACUUGAAAUAUUUAGAAAUCACAUUUUAAAUUUUUUCGACAUUAGUGAUCUAAUGAUCAAAGGGUCGCAAAAUUUAUAAUUUUAAUGGUUGAUAUGAGUCAUUUUCUCAUUUAAUGGUGUAAAAGAAUUUAAAUCAGUUGAAUUUUUGUUAGAAAAUUCCUUAAACUAUUUGAAACAAGAUCUACACUCUUGAUCUUGAUUAUAAAAAUUCUAUCAUCACUUUUAAAGGAUAUUUAUUUUUAGCCGUUCAUUUUUUAUUUUCCACUUGAUGUACAAGAGAACAAUAUAGAAAAAAAAAGAAAUUUGAAUUCUAAAUACAUUAGUGGUGCCGAUUAUUAAGUGGCCUAGAUCAUGUUUAAUGGUGCCGAUCGUCGAUUCAGAGGCUCCAUCAUCGAAAACAAAUCGGUAGCAACGAAGCUCGUUUGCUACUAAUAGUAUUUUAGCUUAACUCUAUAUAUAUAUUUAUACAUGCAUAUACAUAUAUAUACUUAUACAUUUAUAUUCAUAUAUUUAUAUAUAUUUCUUUAUUUAAUUUUUUUCUUUUGGUGCAAAAGCUCUAGCUUGGCGAAACAGCCCUUGUCAUUUGUUUGUAAAAUAAUUUCUGUAUUAUAUUUAUCCUCAGUUUGGAAUUUCAAAGCGCAUAAAAGAGAAGGAGAAUGAGCGAGAUUUUGCUGAACAAGAACUAUCAAACCUUAAUCUGGCGCACAUUGAUGAUCGGGAGAGAAACCUGGUGCUUGUUCUUUCUCAUCUCGUUAGGAAAAAGUUCUUAACUAUUCAUAUGAAAAUAAAAUCUUUCAUUUUGUUUUGAUUGUAGCAAAUCGAGGUUGAGAGGAAAACUCUUGUCUUGGGAGAGAGGGACUAUGAAUCAACAAUAAACCAAAAAAGGACGGAGAUAUUUAGCAUUGAGCAGAAGAUCAGAGCUCUGUACCGUGAGAAAGAUGUCUUGGCUAGUGAUUCUGAGGAUAGAGUGAAACUAGAUUUGAAGAAGGAAGAAUUAGAAAGCUGCAAGAGGAAGCUGAAAAAGAUGCAUGUCCUUUGUUUUUCCUCAUUUUUUUUUUUCUUUUAUCCAAAAUUUGUAAUCCUUCCGCCCCACUCAGUGCCUUGAGAUUCAGUAGAAAGUAACAUCUAUAUUCUUUAACUUUCAGAAUGGAUGAAAACAAAGACAAAAUUAGAGGUGUGCUUAAGGGGAGGCUUCCUUCUGAAAAGGAUCUUAAGAAGGAGAUUGCUAACACCUUCGGGUUGGUCCUAAAGACUCUUUCCUUUCUUCUAUUUGGAUUUACACGUGUAUUAGGCAAUUGUUCAACUUAAAUGAGUAUCAUUUAACCCAAUAAUAUAGCAUCCCUUUUUUAGUUUUAUAUUUCUUUACAUUUUGUGGUACCUGCUAUUUGGGUUAACUUCCUUUUGCCAACAAAACCUUAUCAUUUGUAGAUUCAAAUUGCUCACGGCAAAGCAAACUUUCUUUUACUAAUGUAGCAUUUACUGUUUGAGAUCCUAAAGCAAAUUUAUUAAGCUUUCAAUCUUAGUCAUUUUGCAUCAAUUUUUUCAUAUAUUGAUGUGAUCCUGUUCCUUAUUUCCUUGACAGAUGCAUAUCUUUUGUAUUCAGAAGCUUCAGUCUGACAAGAUUUGUCUUCUAAGUUCUAACUAUAUGUUGUUCUUUAAACUCCUACGACUGCUUAGCUGAAGAGUAACACCCAAAUGAAUCUAGAUCAAGGAUGUUUCUCUAGUGUGACUUUUGUUAUUCUAGUUCCUGAAUUUGCUGUACAUAUCUUUAGAUGGUUCAAAAGUAAUCUCUACAAAUAUAGGUAAAAGUAGACUAUAGUGGAAAAUUUGUAGCCAUGUGGGACAAAUAUCUGAUCAUGUUAUAAUUUUCUCCAUUGGAAGGACUCUUUUGCUACCUCUGCAUCUAUGUAGGUUAUAAAUUUAUUACACCAAUACACCAUCAUAUCAUCAUAUUGCCUAAGCAAACUCUUUGUCUUAACAUUCUGCACCUGGUAUAUGGCAUUGUUGUAUUUUUUUGCCUUUUGUGUUAUAAUAAAUAAUAAGGUUUUCUAUCAUCUUUUUCAGAUCUCUAAAAAAGGAGUAUGAUGACUUGAACUCUAAAACUCUUGAAGCAGAGAAAGAGGUAAAAUUGGUGCAGAUGAAAAUACAGGAUACUAAAGCUCACCUGUCAAAGCUUCAAAAAGAUAUGGAUGGUAAAUUCACCAACUAGGAGUCAUAUAAGCAUUCUUCGUCUUUUCUUUAUCUCUGUUUCCUGUACAUCGCGAAUGAGUGUAACUUCACUUGGCAAAGUUUGUUUUAUUUAUUUUAUCUUCUUUACGUUGUCAUCUGUCUCAUGUUGUUUUUUGCAUCAAUAUGGAAGAUUGUUGACCUCAAUGAGAGAUGCUACCAUUUAGCUCCUUGAUUUCAUACAUAUCCUUAAUGAGAUAUAUUACAGUUUCGCUUACUUUAAAACCUCAAAGACUAGUUGGCCAGUAGGGUGAUGGUACCUUAUUGUUUGAGCAUGGGCUGUGCAGAAAAGGAGCGUCCCCUACAAGGAAAAAGAUUUUUAUAAAUAAUGCUUUGAGAUCUCAUUUGAUACUGCUCACAUUUUUCUUGUUUUUCUUGUUUUUCUCUGAAACUUAAAUUGUAUAUAAUUGAAUGUACGAGCCGUUGGUGGAUUAUUUACAAUCUAUACAUCUACUGGGUUUGUUUUCCUGCUAAAGUAGAGUAUAUAGUGAAAAAUUUCCUUUCUUGUAUCAUUGUUUUUGUAAGAAAAGAAGCAAGCUAACCAACAAGAAGAACAAUAACAAGAAUAUAGAAGUCCACUCUGAGGCGUUCAAGGGCAUAGAAUUUGAGUUCAUGAAAGAAAAAGAAACUGAAGUACCAAAUGAGGCCUCAAAAUAAACAUAAAUUUGGGCUCGCACUAAUCUAUGUUGCUUAUCUGUGAUUCCCUGCUAGUGUGGCUGGGAUAUAGGAUGCCAGCCGAGAUGACAGGGUGGUGAGAAGCAAAUAAAUUGCCAUUUGCAGCCUAUAGUGAUUUCAGCUUUUGGACGUUUAAACUUUAAAGUUCUUGUAAGCUGUUCAAUCAAGCCUGUCUGCACCCAGCAGUGCUGUAUCGUUAGGUUGUAACCAUGGAUGAGUUUGCCUUAUGGUCAUUAAGGUGGUUCAAAGGCCAUUCACUGAAUGAAUAAAAUGGGUUGAUAUAUUGGGUUGUAAUUAGAGAGAGAAAGAUGAUAUAAAGAAGAUAAUGUCUGAAAGGAAAAAAGAGCUGGGUAUGAGAACAGAGACACAGGCAGCUGGAAAGCCUACAAAAUGGAAUCAGACGACAUUGGUUUUCUUUGCCAUAGAGGGGUUCUGUGAUUUUUUUUUUUUUGAGAGAACGGUAGCAUGCUAUCCACUUUGUUCAUUUUUUUUUUUCCGAAAUGAAUUUAGCUGAAAAUGUGAAGCAAGUAGACUUCGAACUUUGCUAGCGACUUGUUGGUAACAACUUCCGAAAAGAUGAGAUCAGUUAAUGUCAUUUGAAAGCUGAAACCAUUAUCUGUGGUUGAAAAGCAGAAUUUAGUUGUUCCUCACCACCUUGGCAUCUCAAUUUGAUUCCUAUUACACAGGCAGGGGAAUACUAGAUUUGCAAACAAAUUUAAGGCAUCUGGAUUCUGGAGUUUGAUGUAUACUUUUUGUUUGUUUUUUUUUUUUCAAUUUUUCAUUAUUCCAAGAAGAGUCUCCAAAACUGUUGUUGAAGUUGAGGAAUUUGUUUGUCUCAGGCAUAAAAGCGUGAUGAACAAAAAGUCAGGUGAAAAAUAAUUUAUGUAGAUAAUGUUUUGAGUGAUUUGGAAAAGAAUUCACUUGGGUUUUUUUUCCUCUUUUUUUUUUCCUUUUUUUUCAUUCCCAUUCUUGACAGUUAUUUGGGUAAUGGAAACUUUAUGCCUUACUACUAUUCCUGUCAUGCAGCGAAGAGAAGAUUUCUCGAUUCAAAGCUCCAAUCUCUAAUUGCCGCAUCUUUAGACAUCGACUCCUUCCCUAAAUUUCUUCUAGAUGCUAUGGAGAAAAGAGAUGUUCAGAAAAGGUUAUCACUGAUGUUCCAACCUUCAUGUUUGCAGCCAGUCAUUUUCUUUGAAAAUUCAACUCUUCUAAUCUUUGACUAUUUAUGCAGCAAGUACAACAUUGCUGAUGGGAUGCGACAAAUGUUUGAUCCUUUUGAAAGAGUGGCUCGUGCACAUCAUAUAUGUCCAUGCUGUGAACGCCCUUUCUCUCCCAAUGAAGAGGACGAGUUUGUUCAGAAGGUUAGAGAACAUAUUACUGUGUUAAAAAUGCAUGGAGACCUCACUUUCAGGCCAUAUUGAAACAGAUCCCUCAACUCUUUUAACUUUUUUCAUUAAACUGCCUUAUCUUUUGCUUGUUUUGAUUUAAGAUAUUUUAGUUAGUUGAGUUGGGAAAGUUGUUAAUUUUAACCAUGAUUCUAUCAAAUUAAACAGUUUGAUUUUCUUUUUUAACGAUGAAACUGUGGGUAUUCCACUAACAUUUAGCAGUACAUGGCUAAUGGAGUCCUAAAUUUUAACAGAAUCCCCAAUCCAAUUGACAGAGCAACUCAAUCCAAAACAAGCAAAAGUUUAGAGGUUGUUGUUCACAAAAACUAAAGUUGAAGGGUCAAUUACAAAAUGGCCGAGGAGAUCUCCACAAUUCUGCCUAUUAUCAUAUCUUCGGAGGCUCCCUUUGUCUUUUGUUUAUGAACCUACAUGCCAAUUCAGCUAGCUUCUAGAUUAGAGAAGCUUCUCCCCAGCGGAAGCCUGCCCAAUGCGUGCCUAGACCCGCCAUAUGCCAAGAAUAUAUAAGGCGUCUACAACAAACAUAACGGAAAAGCACAAGAUAGUAACAAUAACUAACAUGAUAUCAGAGCAAAGAACAUAAACUACUCCCUAAUGAUAAGGAGGAAAGAAAAUAACAUAACAAUAAGGAUCCUCAAAAUACAACAUCGGGGUAUCCCCAAAAUAAAAGGCUAAAUACAUAAUGGUGGUCUCUAUACAUCAAAGGCAACACAUCUCUCCAACUAAAAUAAAAGAAGAGAUGACCACCUAGUAGGAUCUCCACGCUAAGUCUAGCUAGAUGCGACCCCCUUGCCGCGGUCCCUAGCCUUUCCGGCAGUGGAUGGCUCUGUAAACAAAAAUAUCAACAAAAUGGGAAUGAAAACUAUUAGUCAAUAGUUUCUAGUGGGUAAGCUGCGGAUAUUAGUGAAUUACACCACUAGGUCACUGAGGUAUAAGUCGUAAAAGCAUAACUAGAGAGAUAACAUGAUCAUUAAGCAAGUAUUAAAUUACUAAGCUACUAUGCCUCCAAUUAACAUAAUGUUUAGCAUGUAAUAAAGCUACUCUAUCAUGAAUGAGCAUAUCCAACUAGUAUGCACUAUCUAGUAGUGAUGGUCACAUUAAGCAUUUAAAUGUCAUUGUUCAAUUCAACUAGGACCUACACAAGUGUAGUUCGGCUUGCGCUGUGUCUAAUGGUCCCGUGGUAGUCAACAUUCUCCCUUUAGGAAUGAGCCUCGCCCACCGCAAUCCACUUCGGCGCCCAAUCCCGCACGGGCGAGCAUAUGUCGCAUAGGCUAACUCCGGAAUGUCGACUUGUAGGGAGCGACCCUUAUAAGCAUGUACGAAUGAGCACAAUGGCAAGCAAGCAUGAUCAGCAAUAUCGAGUCCAUGGUCAUCAUGUCUAAAACAUGGUACAAGUACUAGCAACCCAAAGGUCGAAUUCUAUGUCCACAAUGUAGAGGUUUAGUCAUUUAACUAAGUCAAGUGUCACUACAGGAAGUUCAUGCUAUCUAUGUCAUAUAUACAUCAUUUGUCCACAAGCAUGUUAAACCUUUUAUCUCACUAAUCAUAACAUGAUUUCUAACAUGGCCUGAAGAAUGUCAUUUCACUUGCAAGUUUAGUAUACAACUCUCUCUCUACUCUAUAGAGGAUGUAAAACUUGACAUGUAACAUGUACAUCUUAAGCAUUCAAAAAUUCAUUUAGACUACAUCUAGCAUGAAUAUGCAUGAUUUUCCAAUGUACACCAUAUAGAAUAACAUAGGAGGAGUUCACCCAUUUCGGUGAGGUCAAACCCACCGGAUACUCCUCAAACUCCUUCGUUUGCGCAUAAAUUAGAAUCUUCUAAAAACCAUGCUUUUGGCGAAGAAAAUGUUUGGAGCUUUUGUUGUGGGGAAGCUUAAAUGGGCUUUUGGCCAUAAGCAUAGAAGCUCCAUUUUGGAGAUGCUGCUUCUGUUGCUGCAGGAAGCUCUUGAGGAUAUUCUAAUGAAAGAAAAAGAAAUUGGUGCUUUUUCGAAUAGCUCUAGUCAAACAAUACUACCACAAGCUAGGCCAAAAAGGCCCUACAUUUUUUAAGAAUCACAUUAAUGAGGCUUUUUUUUAUACUUCUCAGCAAAGAGUGAAAAGUGCAAGUUCAGCUGAGCAUAUGAAGUUAUUAGCAGUGGAGUGCUCGAAUGCUGAUACAACCUUCCAGCAGUUGGACAAGCUCCGUAUGAUAUAUGAGGAAUAUGUGAAGCUCGGAAAAGAAACUAUGCCUUUAGCGGAGAAGACUUUGAAUGAGCUAAUGGAGGAGCUCAAUCAGAAGACACAGGCAUUUGAUGAUGUAAAUGUUUACCUCUAAUUUUCAGUUUCUCUUGUUGUGAUUUAUUUAUUCAAUCUCGUACCUUGACAAACCACAGCUGCUUCCUGAUUUUUUUUUUAUCCUCAUAUUUAAAUGGAGUUAUUUUUCUUGCUGCUUUCUAUGCACUAUCUUUAACCUCCAUUUAUCGUACAUAUUAAAUUAAUAAAUAGAUGAUGCAUUAUUCUACUAUCCUGCGCUCUGUUGUUAGUUUACCAAAUGUUCUCUUCUUUUCUUGCUUCGACAACAACUAAGCCUACUGCUUAAAACUCUAAUACAAUGCUGCUGAUAUGCCCUCUUACGGAUGGAUUGGCAAUAAAAAUGGCACUUUAACUGCAGCUAGUAGGGGUUCUGGCUCAUGUCAAGGCAGAUAAAGAUGCUGUGGAAGCUUUGGUACAACCAGCAGAAGCUGUUGACCGGCUUUUGCAGGAAAUCCAUAAUUUGAAACCUCAAGUUGAAGAACUCGAAUAUAAGCUUGAUUCUAGAGGGCAAGGUGCCAAAACUCUGGAGGAAAUUCAAUUACAGUUGAAUGCUUUGCAGAGCAAAAGGUAAUCUUUUUCUGUUUUCAAGAUUUCUUAAAUGAAAUACAUUUAAAAUUUCAAGUGCAACUAUGUGCAGUGGCAGUCUAUCUCAUGUAUCAUGUAUGCAGUUUUAGUCUUCAUACAUUGAUGCUUAGAAAUAAACAUGAAACAAAUUUAGAAUGGUAAAUUGUUUUGAUUCAUUUAGUUUAAUUGCUUGCUAUAUUAUAAUUUAGAUGGCAUGUAUUAUCAAACAAUGAGAAAGGGGCUGGCAUGGAUGAAUUAGAAUGUGAUAUCAUCGAUGUAGUUUCUUGUAGUGGGAUAAACCGAGUUCAAAUCCUCUAAAUUUUGAGGUUUAAGAGUCAAUUCUUCACCUCGACAAAUUAUUGGGUAUUGAAACUAUUACUUUUAUUUAUUCUUAUAGUUAAAAAAAUCUUAGUCAGAAGCUAGAAUCAGUAUAUAUUUGCACGUUGCAAACAUCAUGACUUCUCAUUUGGAUUUUGCAUAGAACUAGGAAAAAUUGCUACGAUAAAUUCCUCUUCUUAUUCAUUGGCUGUAAGAUAUGUGGAUUACUGAAAGUUAACGAUUUAGAUUGUUGCAGUUAUCUAGUGAUGGAUUUUAUAACACUUUUUUAUGUAAGUGCUUCUAAUCUUUGAGAUUAUUGAACUUUAUCGGGCAGAGACACAUUGAAUACUGAAGUCGAGAAUCUCCGGGAAGAGCAGAGAUUCCUCAAUGACGAUCUGUCGAACAUCCAGAUGAGGUGGCAUGCGUUAAGGGAGGAGAAGCUAAAAGCAUCUAGCAUAUUGCAUAAAGUCAAGAAAGCAGAAGAGGAUUUAGUUCUUCUAGCUGAGGAUAAAACUCAAGCGGACCUUGAUGAGAAGGUAAAUCAUCAUCCCCCAAAUAUUCCCUUUUUUUGCUUUUGUAGUAAGAAGGGCCACUCCUAGGGUGUCUCUCAUAGACAUGAAAUAGUAAAUUUUCUUUAAUACAAAAAAGAACUCAUUGUCUAUCAAACUUAUUUAUCGUAACUUUGUGUGCUAAUGGCUUAUAACAUAUAAGUUAGGAGAAUUAAGGGCUUUUAUUUGGUCAUUAAGGAUAGCCAUACGCAUGCCACAAUGGUGUUACGGUCCAAAUGAAAAGCAAUUAUAGAAUAUCCUCUCAUUCAAGCGAUAAUGGUAGCGAAAUAAACAAUGAAAGAACUAUUGAUUACAAUUUACAACUACGAGCAUGCGAAAUCUAGAGUGCAAGGCAUAAGAAUUCUGGAAGUUCAUCACAUAGUUUGUUGAUAUUCAUUUUUAGCACUCUUGGUUAUGUUCAAAAGGACUGGAUGGAAUUUAGGUACUUUGUUGUUAAUUUAUGCUCGUAUUAAUGUCUGUACCAUUCAGUUGCCAAAGAUUCAACAGUGUUUGUUAUCAGGUAUUGUAUCAUAGGCUGAAUGUUAAUCUUUCAAUUUUUGUUGUGAAAUUUUUUGUUGAUUUUCCAUUUCAUGCUUACUCUUUUACAUAUAUUCUCAUUUUUUAUGCUGAAAAUAUUAGAUAAAGAUUACAGUAGAUAUCACCUUCUAACUAGUCCUAUUGUGAUCUUUCUAGCAUUUAGAAGAUGCUCUGGGUCCAUUGGUAAAGGAAAAGGAGAAGUUGCUCCAGGAACACACAAGUUUAAAGUCGAAACUUGAAAAGGAGUAUGAUGAGCAAGCAGAACGAAAGAGGAGCUUCCAACAAGAAAUUGAAACACUUUUGACACUUAAUGCAAGAAUUAAAGAGUAUGUUCCAGCCAAUGAUAUGUUUAAACAUCUUUUGCGACUGGUUGGCGUUACUUCCAAAACAGCUAUUCUACUCUAGAAAGCAGAAGCUUCACAAAGGAACCUGACAUUUUGCUAUAAAUGGUCUGGAGCUUUUGAUAUGGACAGGAAGCCAAUGAGCUUGUUUGGCCUUAAAAAGGCAGAAAAUUCAGUUUGAAGAUUUUGCUUCUGCUGUAGUGGAAACUGGAAAGCUGUAAUAACGAUGGUUUCAUAUAAUUUUGGCUUCUCUUGGUUUUUUUUUUAAAUGACUUGUGAAACCUUCAUAUAUUAGGUACCUUGAUUCGAAGAAAGUAGAAAGGCUCAAGGAUUUUCAAGAAAAACACACUCUUUCUGAAUCUCAACUACAGAAAUGUGAGAACAGAAAACAGGAAAUUUCAGCUGAUUUAAACAAGAGUAAGGAGCUACUAAGGAAUCAGGAUCAAUUGAAAAGGAAUAUUGAUGACAAUUUAAAUUAUAGAAAAACAAAAGCAGAAGUAGAUCAACUCACGCAUGAGAUAGAAUCUUUAGAAGAGAAAGUUCUAUCUAUUGGUAGUAUGUCAACCUUAGAAGCUGAUCUCAAGAGACAUUUGCAAGAAAAAGAAAGGCUUCUUUCAGAGGUACCAUCUCUUCCAUCUCUACUAUAUUGACUUCUUUUAUGCGCAUCUCUUCCAUCUCUACUAUAUUGACUUCUUUUAUGCACAUCUCUUCCAUCUCUACUAUAUUGACUUCUUUUAUGCGCAUGGUUAUUUACCAUUUGCUUUAUCCGCCUUUCUGUCCAUGAUCAGACAUACCUUCAAGCCAGUCAGAAUAAUGAGGUUUGUCAAUUGGUUUAAUGGGGUUACCUGGGUUCUGACAAUGAUCUUAGACAUUUGACACAACGGCCAUGCUAAAUUCUUUUGUUAGUGGGUUGAGUUUCUGUGGAAGUUACUUGCAAAUUCUGAGCCAAAAAAAUUUCAAUGUUUUCUUUGGUAGUUAAAUCAGGAAAGACACCCACUAUCUUAUGAACUAUGACUGUUGGAUAGAUCUGAUUUUCCUUUUUCUUGUUUAAUUUGUUGAGCUUAGAAGUGAUGGUUUCCUUCUUAUUUGCAAAUUAUGGCAUCUCUGGAUAUUUAUCUUCUUUUGCUCAUUGAUUUAAGAAAACUCUUCAAACUCUUAUCAAAUGUUCCCUUCAGCAGUAUCACAGUGCAUUAUUGUCUAUAAUGUUUAUGUAUGCACAGCUAUGCAUACAAAAAUUUUCAUUUUGCUUGUGUAAUUUGUCAUAAAAAUAUGAUAGUUUGUCAUAAAAAAUAUUGCUUGCUUCAUGUUACUCCUAUUGGCAUGUUUCAAGUGUCAACUUAUGAGAGAAUUGACUUACGAUGCCAAUUGUGCAGUUGAAUAGGUGUCAUGGAACUCUUUCUGUCUAUCAAAGUAACAUUUCAAAGCAUAAGCUCGACCUUAAACAGUCACAAUACAACGACAUCGACAAGCGAUACUUCAAUCAGCUUAUCCAACUUAAGGUACAUGUGCAGCUUUUCCAGCUUGAAUUGUGUUAGCUUUUCAAUCUUAUUGAUACAUGGAUAUUCAUUGCUUAUUGCUUUGGUUGCAGACAACUGAAAUGGCAAAUAAGGACUUGGACCGCUAUUACAGUGCUCUUGAUAAGUGAGAACUAGUAGAAACAACUGAAUUAUAUUUCUUAUGUUGUGAAUGACCACACUUUCUAGUUUUUCAUUUUCUUUUUGUGUUUACAACUUAUUUGUGUUUUUUCAUGUUUUCUAAUGUAGCAAAAACAUUUAAAUCAUAAUGUAAUUAACUAUGAAUCAGAUAGCGGAAUACAAUCACAUCCCUGGACCUCUGUUUUCGGAUCAUUAGUUUUUUCCCUACUUAUCAAUGAAUUGAUCUCUUUCAUUUAGUAUGUAUUAAUUAUUUAUGAAAAAAGCGAUAUAAUUGAAUGGAAUCAUAGUAGAUACUGGAUUGAUGAGAUUGAUUUCCUAAUUAUCUCGUUGUGAAGCCUGAAAUGCUUCUUUUCUUGUGAAGGGCGCUUAUGCGGUUCCAUACGAUGAAAAUGGAGGAGAUAAAUAAAAUAAUUAAAGAAUUAUGGCAGCAGACAUACAGAGGGCAGGAUAUUGAUUAUAUAAGUAUUCAUUCUGAUUCUGAGGGUGCUGGAACUCGAUCAUACAGCUAUCGGGUAAGUUAGAUCAAUUAUUAACGCAUCGACGUACAACCUUAGUAUUGGUUUAAUUUCAUAUUUUUCAAUUAGGUCCUUAUGCAAACUGGUGAUGCUGAGCUGGAAAUGAGGGGAAGAUGUAGUGCUGGUCAGAAGGUGAUGCUUCGCUUUGCAUUGAACUAAAUUUCUUUGAUAUCAGUUGACAGAAGAUACUGUAACUAUUGCGGAGGUCCUCAACCUUUUAACUUUGUUUCACUUUGGUCCUUAAUCUUUAGAUUGCUGCAGUCAUAAUUUCUUUGCUAAAUUUCUACAAAAAACAGUCAGAAGAUGGAGUGACAGCCUUAUGGCUGUCGCAUACUUGGCAUAAAAGCAAAAUCAACUGUAGCACACAAUAAGGAAGUCCAAAUGUAACACAGCAGUUAUACAACAUAACAUCAAUUACAUUGAUACUUUCAAGUUUUACAGAGAAAAUUUAAACAGAAAGGUUAACAUUGCAAGAGAAUGUAAAGAUGAGGGACUGAGUCGUAAUAAUUUAAAGGCUGAGGACCAAAUAUCAAAGGUUUUUAACGUAUAGAACUUACCUGAACUAUGGACCAUAUUGAUUUGGCUAUCCAACCUUUGAAAAUUUUGAUUUUACUACCAGCCUUUUAAUUUGUUUAAUUUGAGUUAGUCAACAGCUUUUUAACUUCAAAAUUUGUGUGCAUCGUUCAUCUUUGUAGGUUUAGUUAGUAUAUUUCAUGCAAUUUUCUCAAUUAUAAAUUCAUGAAAGUAAGUAAUUAGCUUAAAUUUUGAAGUCAAAGUGUCAUUGACUGACUCAAAGUCAAACAAAUUAAAAGGUUGGGUAAUAAAAUCAAAAUUUUGAAAGGUUGAGCAGCCAAUUCAAAAUGUUCCAUAGUUCAGGUAAGUUUUGUACAUUUUUACCAAAAUGAAAUUUUAUUCUAACAAGUUGGGCACUCUUGGUACAAUUCACUUUAACUUUUAUUACUUUCAAUUUUAAUCUUGAUUAGAUUUUCGCUGCAAUGUUUAGGUUCUUGCUUCACUCAUAAUAAGACUGGCGCUGGCAGAAACAUUCUGCCUCAAUUGCGGAAUACUUGCACUAGAUGAACCGACUACAAAUCUGGAUGGACCUAAUGCUGAAAGCCUUGCAGCAGCUCUCUUAAGGUUAAUUCCUAAACGGAAAAAAAUUAUAAUCUAGCCACUGAGUUGGUCAUCUAACAAGAUUCUCUCUCUCUCUCUCUCUCUCUCUCUCUCUCUCACACACACACACACACACACAUCAAUGCAGAAUAAUGGAAGAUAGAAAGGGUCAGGAGAAUUUUCAGCUGAUAGUAAUCACUCAUGAUGAGAGAUUUGCUCAGCUGAUCGGCCAACGCCAGCACGCUGAAAAAUAUUAUCGUGUCACAAAGGAUGAACAGUAAGCCUACAAGCCCCAAUCCUUUUCCUUUUGUAUUGUUAGUAUCUAAUUUAACGGGGUGAGCACCAUUUGCUCUACUGAACAUACUAAUAACUAUUCAUUAUGUUUGGAUUUAUUUAUAAUCUGGUUCAGUUUGCUUUUGUGAAUUGGGCACCAGAAAAAAUUGAAUAAACUGAAUUAAUAUAUUUUUUUUGUAGUUUGACGUAUUAUUGCCAUUGGUAUUUGAUCAAACACUUGAAAUGUUUAACUUUUAACCACUGUUUUGUUGGACUAAAGAUUUUAGGAUAAAAUUCAUAUUUAUAACCAUUAUUUAGUCAUUUGAUGUAUAUUAGCCCAAAUGACAUUUAUUCAAAUUGAGUAAAUCAACCGAAGUGAACAUUUUAUUUGGUUUCUUCGGUUCAUCUCAUAAUUCAUAACGAUUCAAUUUUGAGAAGGAAACCUCUAACAAAACCGACCAAUCUCACUCCCCUCUUCUUUUUUUUUCUUUUCCUUUUCUGUUAUCUUAUCUCUUAUUUGACGAAGUUUGAAUGAUAAAUUGCAGUCAACACAGCAUAAUUGAAGUACAAGACAUAUUCGAUUGAUAGCAAUCCUGAGGAGAGAUUUUGAUGUACAUGUUAUGAAUUUCAUCUGCUUCACCAUUCAAUCCUCAUGCUUUUGUAUAUCAGCAGCAGAGUUGUUUUUCGUCAAAGAAUUUUGAGUGCUGCUUCACGAUAAGCAGCCAAGUUUUGAGCCCUCUAGUGAUAAUUUCCUUAACUUAAAAGAUCACUUAUGGGCUGCUUUUUGCCGGUUGUAGUUACUGAUGCACUCCUUUUGAGAAGCAUUGUAAAUUCAAAAAUGGACUUCUAUGAAAUAUAACAGUGAAAGUUCGGGUAGAAAGAACAAGAAAUUCAUCUUAACAUGUCUAUGUGCAAUGAAUAUUUUGUGGGAAUUGCUUUUGUUUCAUGUGUAUCGGUGAAUGUUGCUCUUGAGCCGUUGUACUGCCUGAAGAUGCAAACCUACUCUCGGUGGACCAUUGAUAAAUUUAUUUCUUACAAUGUGGAGAAUGAGUUUGUCAGAGUUUAAGGUUAAAAUUCUCCACAAGUUAAAUGUUCUUAGUGUUCGACAACAUUGGAUCAUCAGGUACUUCAAUUCGCUUUAAAUCUUGCUUGAUGAGAUAUGAUCUAGAAUUGUGGAGUACAAUGUUAAUCUACCAAAUAAAAUAAAAUCAUUAAUGUGUUUUGGUUGGAUGGGGUUUAUUUUGACUCUGAUCUAGGCUUUCAUUAUAUUUACUCUGGUUGGAUUGGGCAGGAUAAGAUGAUAGAGCGACUUCAGAGUUCAGACAGCAGAGGGUCUAACCAUUAGAAUAUGUUAGGGGUCAUGAUAGGUUGCGGGUGGUUCUGCAGGGGUGUAAUAUAGUUUUUUUUUUUUUUUUUUUUUUUUUUUGAGAGAGAGAUAGGUAGUAUGUUAUCUGCUUCGUUUAUGUCAUUUAGAAAUAAACUUAGCUAGAAAUGUAAAUCAACUAGGAUUCGAAUUUGUGACCUCGGGUACUAAUCAUCAAGUCCUUUGCUACUUGCGUUAGGGAUGGUCGGUGUAAUAGUAUUUGUUGAAGCUAAUUUUCUGGGGUGUAGGUAGUGUUUGUUGAAGCCAAUUUUGUCCAAGCCCAACCUUUGUGGUAGGAUUAUGAUCUUGAAUUUGUUGGGCAUUAUUUACUAUCCAACUUCUAUAAAUUGGUAAACCCUCGUCUCUUGAUAUCGUAUUUUAUUCAGGAUCCUAAGAUAAUCCUGAUACCAAGUAGCACAAUGUCCUAACAACUUUCUCCUUCACUGUAUAUUUUGUAUGCCUCAAUUAGCAUUUGUCCUUUUCAAAUAAUUCUAUUCAAAUAGCAUUUCUCAAAGGAAAGAAUAAUUCAUACGGACCGAAGAUUAUCUCGCAUUUAGUAAUGCCUUAUAAUUUUUCAAUAGACGUAAAAUUCCAUAGAGACUAGUGGAAAAACCCUACAAGUUUAAAUUUGCUAACAAACAAGAUAGAUAAUAGAUAUCCUGCGAGCCUAUUACAUAGAACAACAGUGCAAAAGGAAUGUUGUCUUUAAUACCAUCUCAAAAUAAAUAGCAGGGCUUUUUUUGCAUUUGGCCUCCUAAAAAAAUUUAUUUUCACAAAAAACUCUACCAAAUUUAUAAUUGCAAUUUUGGCCCCGUCCCCGUCACGUAGAUGCUACGUAAGCGCCACGCAAGCAAGGGGAGGUGUUGGAAUAAGUUGAACACGGUAAUUCAUUCACCGUGUCUAAAUACGGUGAAUGGUUCACCGUUUCUGGAAAAAUACAAAUAUAUGUAUUGCGAAAAAAUAUAAGUAUUGAAAGGAAGAAUAGGAGAAAUAUAAGUAAGAAAUACGGUGAACCAUUCACCGUAUUUAACUUAAAAGUCCCUCUCUCUAGCGUGGGGCUUGCGUGGCGAGGAUAGGACCAAAUUUGUAAUUAUAAAUUUGAUGGGACUAUUUGUGAAAAAAAAUUUUUUGAGGGGGACAAAUGCAAAAAAGUCCUAAAUAGCAUCUUAAAUAUACAAGUCUACAAAGAAAUGUAACAAGCAUACAAGAAAGGGCGAGUUAGAGGCACAGAAAUUGUUCAGGGACUACUAAUCAUGAAAUAACCCACCAACUUCUGAGCACAGAACUAACAUAUAUAUAAGCUAAGACAGUUCAACCAACACUUGGUACAAAAAAUCAAAAGCAUUCGCAUACUUUCAUAUAAUAUAUUUACUGAGUAGCAAGUUAAAGCCUCUGUUUCAUCAACUCUUUACAUAUAACACCACGAGACUCAAUUUUUGCUGUCGACUUAUAUUAUUAUCUACAAAUCAAUAGUCUCAGAUCUUAAAUCGAUCGACUUCUCACAUCUCGACAAUGAUCUUACCAGUCGCAUGGCCCUCUAUGCUCUUCGCCCAAGCUUCCUCCGCCUUGCUUAGCGGAUACUUCGAAUCGAUCACCGUCUUCAGCUUCCCUUCCUUCACCAACUCAACCAGAUACUUCAAAUCCUCCUUUUUGGGAAUCGCCAACAGCGGCACUAACUGCUUCUUGGAAAAGGUCAGCUUCUUGAUGGCAGAAUUCAGUAUAGCCGAGAAGUUUGGCGUGAUGUCGAUGACGUUCCCGUUAGGGCUUAAGUUCGGUUCGAAUGUAGACCAACCGAUCCCGACUGCACAAUGCACGACGCAGUCAUAUUUCUUACCAGAAGGGCUCUUCAGGCUCGCGCCCUCGGGGGUUUUAUAAUCGAGGACCUCAUCGGCCCCCAGGCUUUUCACAAGCUCUAUGUUGCGGGCACCGCAGGUGGCGGUGACGUGGAGGUUGGCGAGUUUCGCUAGCUGGACAGCAUAGAGACCGACGCCGCCUGAUGCAGCGGUGAUCAGGACAUUUGCCGGAUUACCAGUGCCGUCGAAUUUGGCUCCGCCGCGCUUGAGCGAUUGCAGUGCAGUUGUGGCGGCGAUGGGGAGGCCCGCGGCCUCGGCUGCAGAGACUUCGGGCGGCCGCUCAACCGUCUGGCUGGUUGGGGCCACGGCAUACUCGGCGAGGCCGCCUCCUUGCUGUCAUUAUCAAAAUAUAGACCAUAUCUUAUGCACAUAACCAAAGAAUAUAUGGAGUGUACAAGUGCCCAGUAAUAAUAGUACAGCAUCUCUCAAAUUUUUAAUGAUCUGAACAACAGAAUGCAAACUAAAUGAACUGUUGUGCUCCCUUACAUAGUGCCAGUAUUCUUAUAAUAGAGUAAGGCUACACUACUAGAAGUAAACAGGCUUGCUAACUUCUGCAUUACUUUUGAGAAGCGGGCAUCCAUAUCAACAAUCGAUGACAUGGUUAAGCAUGAUAUAGACUAUUUGCACUUGCUAGGAAUAAAAUCUCGUGAUUUUAUAACAUGAUUUAUCAACUGAUCAAGUGGUUUCCAGUCCAACUAAUAUUAACCUUUAAAUACUGUCAAUUUUGAAGCUGUUUGAAUAUUAGACAAAGAAGUCGAAAUAUCACGAAAUUCAGUUCUUAGAAAUUUCAAAUAGCCAUCAAGCUUAACAGUGCUAAUAGUUUAUUCAAAUUUCCCGUCAUUGGAAAUGACGUGGAAGUAAACACUCCUGUUUACUUCCAAGAGCAUGUUUGGUUUGUUAUUAUAGGAAUCAAAAUCGGAAUAGGAAUGGGAAUGGACCGGAGUUGAAAGCGGAAUAAUAAAAACAAUAAUCUGUUUGGUUCAGAAGAGGAAUCGGAAUUGGAAUCACGUUCAAAUUGAAAUUCAAAAAGUUUUCAUUAAAAUUUAAAUUUGUUAUUCAAAUUCAUAAUUAAAAUUUGAAUCCAAAAUUUAAAAUUUGAAUUUUUAAUUCAAGUUCAAGGUCAAAGUCAGAAUUUAAAUUUAGUAAUAUUAAAUUAAAAAUUAAGAAAUUAUAAUUAAAGUUAAAAUUCAUAUUUCAAAUUUAAAUCUGAAAUUAUGAUUUAAUAUAAUAAAUUGUAAUUAGAUUUAUAUUUGAAUUCAAAUAAUUAUUAGUGGGAAAAAAGAAAAUUCUUUUUUCCAUCACUCCGGAAUCAAAGUUGACUCCCACCUCUAAGGUAGGAGUCACCUUUGAGGGAUUUGAAUCUCCCCUGGAAUGGGGAUUGGAAUGUCAAUCUCUCAAUCCAAACACUAGCUAUGACUUAUUCUGAUUUCUAUUCCAAAUCUCAAAUACUUCAAACCGAACAAGUUCUAGAUUUACUCCUUUUAACAAGUAGAGAAAUUAGGCAAUAGUAUCUAUACCAUUAGGUGAAUUCUAGCACCGUUGAAAAGAUACAUUGAUCAAAAUGAAUACAGAUAGUAGUAGUAAAAGACAUCAUGUUCUUCCAAUGAAGCUUGAUUGUGAAGAAUAACAGCAUGCUUACCCCGAAUGCAAGCAGAGACAAGACUUUGUCGCCUGGCUUGAAAGAAGUCACUCCCGAACCGACAUUAACAAUCUCUCCAGCAACAUCAGUAACUGCAUCAAACAACAAUUAGUUGCUGAUUUUGUUCUAGAAACUGAUAAAUAAAUGUAUCAAGUUGUUUAGCAAGUACAGCAAGAGAUAUUGAAACAAGGAAACAAAACCAGGAAAGAAUGAGGCUUAAAAAUUGGACGCUACAUCAGGUAAAAUUAAAAAUAAAGGAAGUGCAGGAAGGAGUUUGAAAAAAAAAAAAAACAGAAAUGCGGUUGUAAAACAGAGUAACUUAUUUAACACUGGGUGAAAUUAAAGUCUAUUGAGACACCAAAGAAAAUGGAAAUUUUAGUUUCCAAAAGGAAUUCACUCAGAAGCAACUAAUUUUUUCUGAAUUUUCAUGCAAAAUACAAUAUCAAUCUGCUGAAAAAGUCUACCCUAUCAUUUUCCUCUUAAUUAGUCAAUUCAGUGAUUUUAUUAUUUUUUCCUUCUGUUUCUCUCCACAGUUGUGGAAUUCUUCUCCUCCUCACUGUUUUCAGAAAGCUUUACAAAAGCGUUCCAUCUUCGAAUGUUUUUGAUAUCCAGACCAUGAAACCUUGUGAAUAAGAGAUUUUGAGAAAUAAGCAAAAAACAAAACUCCAAUACUUGACAUUCAAAAAAUAUAUAUAUGUAGGUAGAAAAGCCUUUCAGAAGAGUAUCAGAGGAUGCACAGUUCUGUAUUUAGAUCUUGAUCGAGUAUAUAUACAAAUUAAUAAUUAGUAUCCUGUUGCUGCAUCAAGAAAAGGAAAAAUUUAUAUAAGAAAAUAUGGAAAAUAAGUACAGCAGCCAUUUUACUAUCAUAUAUUCGUCACCAAACUUAACAACAUGGCAGGGUACACAAGGGACUUGUAGCUAAUCUAAGGUAAAAUUCAAAUGAUACAGUGUGUUCUCCUCAAAAGUAAUUGCGUUGAACAUUACCUGGUAUGAAUGGAAACUUCGGAGGCAAGAAAGGCCGUAGCAUUCCUUUCUGGAUUUUCCAGUCAACUGGGUUGAUGCUUGCAGCUUCCACUUUCAAGAGCACUUCAUCUUUCUUUGGUGAAGGAACUGGAAUCUCAACAUGCUGCAGUUACCGUCAUACCCGUAACCCAUUAACACAAAAUGUUAAAUCUCAGAGAUACAAUGAAUUGAAACUUUUUUCUCUGUAUCAUCAUGUACAUAUUUUAAUAUUGAAAACUAAACAAGAAAUUGCCAGGUGUAGCAAAACCAAGUUAGAUGCUUCUUCUAUUCCUUUUCCUGUCACAGCUGCAUCAUCUAGACUUAAACCAGAGACAUAUCCUGUGAAGUAGAUUAUCGGGCUUAUCCAACCAUCAAUUUAAUCUUAUCAUGGAUAAUAUUUUCUUGGCAUGUUCUGUAUCUCUUGCAUAUGCACACAAGUUUAAUCAAAGUAAGAGAUGAUUAUAAUUAUAUAAGGUGGCAAAGAUAGCACACACCAAGAAGUUUUCCUAAUCCACUUUUUCUUGGAUAUAUAGUAAUUUGGAAUUUUGAUUAUGAAGAUAGGUUUACAUAAACCAUCAGAUAUUUCGUGACAGGUGUCUUCUGAAGGAAAAAAAGAAGAAAAAGGAAAUACCAUAUGUGACCAUGAAGAAUAUGAUCAAGCACAUCUGCUCUCACGUACAAACACAAAAUUGUGCAGGGAACAGACACCCCAGAAAAUUAUAAGCAAGAGCAAAUGGGCCAGCAUCCUGUCGAUGGCAGAGGCCGGGUUAAGCCGAGUCACAGUCGAGGCCCGCGAGCGGUAAUGUAUCUAUACACUUUAAGUGUGAUGGGGUGCGCCUUUUCCUUCAACUCGAGCUUUUGGAUUUGUUGGUUACCAUUUUCAAUCCACAAAUAAAAAAACAGUAAAAUACCAUACGCUCGUGGCUUAAGCUUUCAGUAAGAAUAUUUGUUUCGUGGUAACAAUGUAGGGGAUCCUCAAUUUAAGUCGUUUCAAACUCCUAGUCUUAUUUAAUUUUACCUCUCCUUAAAUUAAACUUGGCUUCUUGGGACCAUCAAACAAACUCGAGCCAAGGAUCCUAGGAUGUGUUGAUUAUAAAAUAUCAAAACACCGUUUUUCAACAACUUCAAUUUAAAAAAAAAAAAAAUUGAUGAAGGGUUGUUCCACAAGCAUAGUAUUCUAAUUCACAAUUCCGUAAAAUAAAUUUCAGUUAUUACACCUUGAUUUCAUAUUAAUCACAACCUUAAAACGAAAAUUAACUAAGAAAAAGUAAACUUGUUUACCCUAUUUCCUCAUACAACUAACCAACCUAUCAUAAAACUAAGGAAUUAAAGAGAGAGAGAGAGAGAGAGAGAGAGAGAGAGAGAGAGAAGAGAGUCCAUUUUGUUCAAUAGAAACCCUAACCAGCUCUUCUACAAUAAUAAUAUAAUAUUCCCCCCGCAACGACCAUUUCACAACAUUCGACAAUUCCCCCAAAAAAGGCUUACGCGAAUGAAACCCUAAUUAAACAAAUACAUAGAAACGAUAAGAAAAUCCCCUCGCGACGACCAAUUCACAACAUCCCACGAAUCCCCAAACCCCAAACCCCAAACUAUUUUUAAAAAAUAUACUCAUGCACGAAUCAAAUGAAAACCCUAAUUAAACAAAUACUAAGCAACCAUGAUAAAAAUCCCCUCGCAACGACCGUUUCACAACACCCCAGGAAUCCCCCGAACUCCACGCCACUUCAAAAAUAUAACAAAAAUACAAGAUUCGACCAAUUAAACUCUAAUUAAACAAAAAUUAAGCGUUAAAAAAGCAAAACAAGUAAAAGGAAUCGACGGGGGGCUGCGCGGCGCGGCGCGGCGCGGCGCCGCUUCGCCAUGGGAGGAGGAGAUCGCACCUUGAGAGCGGCGGCGCCGCCGCCGUAGCCGUGGUAUUGGACGGCGCGCAUGGUGGCUCCCGCCAUGGGCGAGGUCGAGGUGCGGGUGAGAAGGAUCGGAGCACGAAAAUUAAAGGAGGCGGAGGAGGAGGAUAAGGAAGAAGGGCAAUUACGUAAUUAUAGCGACAGCAAGAUCGACGAAUGAAUCGAGCGGAGGAAGCGUCCGGAUUCAAAUAUAUAUAUAUAGAGAGAGAGAGAGUUGUGUACGUACGUAUUUGAAGCGGGGGUAGGAGUGAUCUUGAAUUUACGAAAAUGCCCCUCCACCGAGAGGAGACUAUUGCCUACACCGGGUGUAUGAUACACCACACUGCUAAAGUGCCUGUCACAUAGUUUCCAGUUAGAAUCUAAGAAAGGUGUCUGGUAAAAGAAAACUACAAUCCAUCCAACUCAAUUAGUUUUAUCUAUUCAGAGGAGCUUGACUUUGCACUCAUGAAGUGCGAAUGACGAGUUCGCGCAGUACGCAAACUGACUGCUCUAUGAGACAAAUUCACACCACCAACAGACUGCAUAGGCUCCCCACGUUAUGUGAUUCCGCCCAAAUUUAUUUUGAUUUUUAUGUAAGCUUCCAAUCCUUUAAUUCUUGGAAUCUGAGCUUUAACUUUUAUUAUUAAUUAAUAAUUAUUGUUAAAACUUUUAAUAAGUCUAAUCAGAAUUAUUAUAUGCUAUCCGUCGCAUCAGAAUCGAAUCGUUACAGCAUUAUAACAAAUUAUCUUAAAUUAAUUGUAUUUGCAUGUCUUAUAUAUGCACCAGUAUUAAUGGAGAAACUAAUAAAAAAAUAUUAAAUUUGAGAUGCUAAGCCUUUACAUAAUUGUGAUUCGCGUCUAUUGAACUAAAUCCUUAUUAUGAUUUUUUUUUACGCUAAAAACUGUUCAUAAGGCGUUUGAUACACCGGGUGUAGGCAAUAUGCGCCGUCCCAUCGAAGUGUUCACACCGAGAAGUGAGGUGGACACCGUGUCGUCCACGGAGUGGGUGGAGACUGGUGGUGGGUCCUACUUUCUCCUACGUGGCGUCUUACGAUUCCGCCACGUGUAUGAUGAUGGAUUUGGAAACACGACACACGAUGAUGGGUACUUCGUAUUAGCACAAAUAAAAAAUAUUUUAUUAACUAAUAAAAAUAAAAAUAAAACGAAAAAGACACACGACUCGGCUCCACUCGCACGUCUAUGUCUGUCCGACUCAAUCAAUCACAUAUGAGGCUGAAUUAUUUUUUUGGAAAAAUUUCAUCACCAUCCUUCCAAAUAAGUCUAAUAUUACGAAUGCCCCUAUAAAAAUUAAAAUAUCAUAAAUAAUUUUUUAAAAGAGAGAAACUUUUUUAAAAAAACUUUCACACUAAUUUAUUAUCAAUUUUGAAUAAACAACAAACAAAAUUCCAACUUUGCCCUUAUUGUCAUUACCAUCUUAAAAUAUUUAAUUGACUAUAAAAUCAUUUAUAAUUUUAUAAACACUCUUUUAAAUUUAUAAAUAACAUACAUUUAGAAAUAAGUUUUUUGUCAGUUAAAAAAAUAUAUAUAAUCCUUACAAGUUAAGCUAAAAAAUAAAAAAAAUCAAAAUUUUUGAAAAAAAAUUUAGCAAAAAAUUAUUUAAAGUAUCAAUUGACUCAUUAAAAUUAGGUUAAACAGUUUAUUCAAAAUAUAACUUAAAUAUAUAUGCAUGAUGUGAAUUAAGUUAUUUGAACUAGCACUAAUUUUUGUGCUUUGGCAUCUCGAAUUUAAGAUAAAUGAUAUAAAGUAUCUUAUUUUAUAAACCACACAGCAGUAAAAUGAUAUAUUUUAUUGUUUAUUUUAAUAUUUUAAAAUAAAUAUAUCAUGCUAAAAUAUUUUUGUAAAAAAUUUUAGAAGUUAAGGGCAAAAUGGACAUUUCGAUCGUAUUUAUGAUAAUCUAAAUAUUUUAUAAUUCUAUAAAGAGAUGAAUAGUAAGGGUAAGGGUAUAUUUGAAAAAUAAUAAGUAUUUGUAGGGAUAAUUGUGAUAUAAUCAAAUUUGUAGGGGCAUCUAUGAUAUUUUUGAAGUUUAGAGGUGCACAAAUGAAAUUGACCCUUUUUUUUUUAUCCUCAAAUUAUCAGCCGCGUCAUAUUUUGAUUCUCCAACUUUUAUAUAGUGUAAUUUCUGAUUCGAAAUUUGUAAAUUAUUAGAAACGAAUUCUUAACUCAAUUUAGUUGAUGCGGAGCUGACGUACGUCUCCCUGAUGUAAAAGUAAUGUAUGACGUUAAUUAUUAUCGUGUUAUUAGUCACAAUAUUGUUACUGUUAAAUAAUACGAAAUAAUUGUUAUACUCUGUAAAAGAUUAAGCCAGUAGAGAACGGUAUUUGUAUAUUUGUAUAUUUUUAUAUUUAACACUUUUUUUUACGUCUGGGAUUAAGACUUUUUGAUAGGUCCUUGAUGUAGACAUAAAUUAAAUUGGAGAAAAUUAAUAAUGUUAGGAGCCUGGCGUGACUCGAACUCAGAACCUCCUGCUCUAAUGUCAUGUUAAAUAAUACGAAACAACUAUUGUACUCUCAAAUCUUAAGCUAGUAAAGAACUAUUUUUAAUAUUUUUAUAUUUAAUAGUCACAUUAGCGAUACAUAGUAUUUAGUUAAUUAAAUUAGAUUGUUGAACUUAUUUGCAAUAAUUUAGAAUGUUUGUAUCAAAAACUAUAGUAAAUUGAAAUUGAGUACCAAACUGUCACACGCCUCAUAGUUUGAGGACCAAAGUGUAAUCUAGCAGAAGAGAGAUGUUAUCUGUACAUUCAAAAGUUGGUCGUAAAUCUUACACUCAUCUAUCCAAGAGUUUAGACUACUCUUUCUGAACAAUAAAUUUAUCUCCAAAACUAAAAAUAAGAAAAAAUAUUAAUGAAUGUAUCCAGUAUGUAGGAGCACUAGCUAGAAUUCUAGUAUUCGUACGUAUAAACCCUUAUCUCUUAGUAUAUAUUUAUAUUAUAACUGCUUUUUGAAGUAGAGAAACUAUUUUACAAGGCAACAUGCACUUAAGCGUGGAAAUAAAAAGGACUUUUUAGUCCUCAUCCACCCAAAAAUAAAUGAAGGGAUUUUUCUUUCAUGUGUGUAAUAGAACAAGAUGUGUAUUGACAUAGAAAACAAAAACAAAAAGGGAAGAAUUUAAAAGGAAAAAUAAAAAGAAAAACUCACCCAAAUAGGCAAGUCUAUUCACCAAAUAAAUAGAUAUUAAUUUAUUGCAUGAAACCAAACUUGUAAAAAUCUGUUGCAUGAGUACAAACUUAUUAUAUUACAUGAAUAACAUUUCUAUGGGGUACAUAAAUGCAUAACAAACAAAGUAACAAAUUCCUAGUUUCAAAAGGAAACAACAACAACAACAACAACAACAACAACAAAUAUAGUUCAUUAUACAUGAUAUAACACAUCAAAAAUAUAAUGCUUGAAUCAAUUCAAUCACAUUUCUACAAUGAUUUUUCCUGUGGCAUGGCCAUCCAAGCACUUAGCCCAUGCUUCCUCCGCCUUCUCGAGCGAAUGCGUCGAAUCGAUCACUGUCUUCAGUUUCCCUUCCUUCACCAAUUCAACCAAGAAUCCCAAUUUCUCCGUCACGUUCGACACUAAGAUUACCGAUAACUUCUUUUUCGAAAAACUUAAUUUUCGUAAGAGAAAAAUCAAAAGAGUCUUCGGAGAGGCAGCUACGUCCAAAACUCGCCCUGUAUCACUCAAUUCCGGCUUAAAAUGAGACCAUUCGAGCCCGUACGCGCAAUUGAUGAUCACAUCGUACUUCUUACCGGAAGGGCUUUUCAGGGCCGCGCCUUCCGGGCUUUUGUAGUCGAGCACUUCGUCCGCCCCUAGGCUCUUAACGAGUUCGACGUUCCGAGCUCCGCAUGUGGCGGUCACGUGGUGGUUCCCUAGUUUGGCGAGCUGGACAGCGUACGAACCGACCCCGCCAGAGGCGCUAGUGAUCAAGAUGUUGAGUCUUUCACCCGUGCCGUCGAAUUUAGUUCCGAUGUCCUUGACGACUUGGAUGGCAGUGCAAGCGGUCAUAGGCAAUCCUGCGGCUUCGAUUGGAGACACGUCGGGAGACCGAAGAACCAUGAGGCUUGCUGGAGCCACGACAUAUUCCGCAAGGCCGCCUCCUUUCUGUCGGUACAAUUGUCAGUUCAGAAUAUGGAUUUUAAACUCCACCUAGUAAUCUGUCAUCGAUCUCAUCUUUGAAAACAAUUUGAAGUAAAGCAUGCCCAUGACUCUUCUUCGAGAAAACAAUUUGAAAUAUAAAAAUAUCAUAAAACCAUGGAGGGUGAGAAUUGACGAAGCGAUUAGAUGUAUGGAUGUCAAACUCCGCCUAAUGAUAUGCUAUCGAUCUCAUCUCUGAAAACAAUUUAAAGUAAAGCACGCCCACCGGUCUUCGAGAAAACAUUUUGAAAUAUGAAAAACACCGUAAAACCACGGAGGGUGAGGAUUGACGAAGAGACUAGAUGUAUGGAUUUUAAACUCCGCACCUAGUAAUCUGCCAUCGAUCUCAUCUCUGAAAACAAUCUGACGUAAAUUAUGCCCACCACUCUUCGAGAAAACAAUUUGAAAAAUGAAAAGCGCUAUAAAACCACGGAGGGUAAGGAUUGACGAAGAGACCAGAUGGAUGGCUGAUUCACUAGGAGGAUCAGGUUUCUCCCAGAAUUAGGGCAUCUACGACAAGUAAAUGUUUACAGCAUCCCCUCCAACUAAAAGAAUAGUUGCACGAGAAAGUCGCUUACCGUGAAAUUAAGCAUGCCCACAACUUUGUCGCCUACUUUAAAUGUAUCCACUUGAGAACCAAGCUCGACGAUCUCUCCUGCGAUGUCGGUUACUGUUUUUUCGACCAAUAUUAGAACCAAAUUUAGCUAUUCACUCUCAACUCCCUAAACAUACAAAUUACAAGCUAAAAAAUGAUGUGUAACCGGGAAAUGCAAAUAAUAGAAACGAAUCGAGCGUAUGCUGAUUGUUUAAGCACUUAUGAUGUUCAGAAAAAGGAAAUGAAAUGUAAUGAAAAAAAAUGGCCAAAAAAUUUAAUCCAACCAAAAUAUUGUAUCAGACUCUGCACUCUGUUUCAGCAAAAAUGGAAAGAAAGAAGAUGUAAUCCACCAUAGUUGAUAUGCCUUACAUAAUACUACUUUAGUAAUAAAUCAUGAAAAAGAUGGGUUCUAACUAAAUUGGAGCUCAAAGAGAAACCAAAAUUUCACUAAAUUAACCAUUAAUUCAAUCAAAUUCCUUUUAUACCAAUGCCUGAACAAGCAUAGAGCAGAAGAUGUCAAAAGUUCUGCUCAUAAUUUCACUUAUUUUACUUUCGAAUUUCUCGAUCUUUUUGAUCUAAGCUUCUUGAUAUCAAAAGUUGCAAAUAUUUUUUUUUUUGAGAGAUAGGUAGCACGCUACCCGCUUCGUUUAUUUCAUUUAGAAAUAAACUUAGCUGGAAAUGUGAAUCAACUAGGAUUCGAACUUAGGUCUCGGAUACCAACCACCAAGCCCUUUGUCACUUGCUCUAGAGACGGUCGGUAAAAGUUGCAAAUAUUGAACACCAAAUGCUAGGAUGAGAUAACAAAGCAUAAUAUAUUAGGCUGGUUUGGACGCAUGAACAUCUUAUUUAGUAUAUCUCUUUUGGGAAAACUUUAAAUACCACCCCUGUGGUUUUACACUUUCUCACUUUAGUACCUUGUGGUAUAAGGUGUAUCAAUUUAGUAUCCUGUGGUUUCAUUUUUAUCUUUUUGUUAUCGAUUCCACUAAUUUUUUUUCGUUAAAUCAGCUACAAAGUUAAAACUAAAAGGUACUAAAGUGAAUAUUUGAUAAACUUAGAUGGAGUAUCUGAAGUUUUUUGUAUAUAAUUUAACAAAAUGUUAACGGAAAAAUUAAUAAAAAGAUAAAAAUAAAACCACAUGACACUAACUUGAUAUAUUUUAAACCACAGAGUACUAAAAUGAAAAAGUGCGAAACUACAGGGAUGGUAUAUGAAGUUUA
rnacentral:lncRNA from 1 species